UAGAGGCCCUGCCUCUCCCAGGCACAAGGUGAAACAAAGAGGAACAACAAUGAUGGCGGAGGUCAGGUCUCCAGCUCUGGAGUCGAGCUCCCUUGUGAUCCUCUCUGAACCUAUGUCUCCAUUUUGGGAUACCGUCACCCACCUCCUAAGAAAGAUGUCCAUAAAAAGACUGUUCCUGAAAAAGAAUGCAAGGUACAGGUAUGUAUAGUAACAUGAAAGUGAUUAACAGUCAUUUCUGGGUAGACUGAAUAAGGAAUUUCUAUCAUCAGUUUUUCUUCUG